UGCACAUUAAGACCGAUUCGUCCAGCUCGCAGAACGGUCCGUCAGUCUGAAUCUACAACGUUGAGUUGCCGCCACCGCUGGGCUGCAGCUCUUCCGUGCCAUCGUGUAGCAGCUCUGGAGAAGCAUUUUCAGAACGGAGAAAAAGGAAGAGAGAUGGUACCUCGGAAAUCCUUCAAUAUCUGGAAAGGGCAGAUGAGAGGUUCCUGCAGCACAGCAAGGCAAUGGAUAAUGUCUUGUGUCAGGACAUGAGAGCGGACACACAAACCCUGCUUGGACUCAUGGGGCGCAUGGUGGCCGUAUUGGAGGCACAAGUUAAAAAAUAACUUUGGUUGCCGCUUUUCAUGUCAUUUUUUAUAUAUUUUUUUACAAUUGUUACCUACAGAACUUUAUUUUUUAAGAUUUCUGUUGUUUUUUGGUUUAAAUAAACAUGUUUAGU
ensembl:lncRNA